CGGGUGGCAGUCGGGAAGCUGCAGGUCCUGUAGCUCUGGCGACGGCGGCUACCGAUAAUCUUCCGUCCUGGCCCGAGGUUCGCAGACAGCCCUACUCCUUCCUGAUAUUGGGCAGCCCAAGGAGAUUGAGCUUGAGCAAUGGAGGGGCUGACAGGUCUUCCAGCAUCCUGGGAAGGGCCAUUUGAUCCAUCCAGCAUCCUUCUAAAGAAAGAGCCCCUUGGUGCCCGCCUUCUGAGAUUGCCCUUUUCCAUGAAGACAAGGCCGGCCCUUUGGCUAAGAGGACUAGAGCAUCCAGGAAGAGAAUCUAUAUUCAUCUCCUACUUGGGCCAGAGAGGAGAGACGUGUUCAAUUUCAGCUUCCUGGAUUCAUCCAGCAUUUAUAGGCUGGGACAGAGUACAUCCAUUUCAUGAAAUAAAUACUCUCAUUGACUAUUAAAAUGAGAUGGUCACAAGAAGCCAUAUUCUCUGACAGCCCUGGUGGGGAGUCAGGCCACCUGGAUUUAGUCCUGCUGGGGCUGGGGCUGGGCCCAGAAAGUGGGCUCCAGAAAAGGUGCUCCUCACCCUUGCUCUCCUCCAAGCCUCUGGAGCUGCUCCCCCAUGUGAGGGAGGGAGUGUGGUUGCACUUUAUGG